UCUGGAACCUUGGUGAGAGCCGAGGUGCCUUCGGGAGCCAGAACACAGGUGCUGCAUGGCUGUCGUCAGCUCGUGUCGUGAGAUGUUGGGGUUAAAGUCCCGCAACGAGCGCAACCCUUGUCACUAGUUGCCAUCAUUUAGUUGGGCACUCUAGUGAGACUGCCGGUGACAAACCGGGAGGAAGGUGGGGAUGACGUCAAGUCCUCAUGGCCCUUAUGGGUAGGGCUUCACACGUCAUACAAUGGUCGGUACAGAGGGUUGCCAAGCCGCGAGGUGGAGCCAAUCCCUUAAAGCCGAUCGUAGUCCGGAUCGUAGUCUGCAACUCGACUACGUGAAGUCGGAAUCGCUAGUAAUCGCAGGUCAGCAUACUGCGGUGAAUACGUUCCCGGGCCUU
rnacentral:rRNA from 1 species